rnacentral:rRNA from 1 species
UGCCAGCCGCCGCGGUAAUACGUAGGGUGCAAGCGUUGUUCGGAAUCACUGGGCGUAAAGGGCGUGUAGGCGGAACGAUUAGCGAGGGGUGAAAUCCCGGGGCUCAACCCCGGAACUGCUCUUCGAACUGUCGAUCUAGAGAAGGUCAGGGGCCGGCGGAAUUCCUGGUGUAGAGGUGAAAUUCGUAGAGAUCAGGAGGAACAUCGGAGGCGAAGGCGGCCGGCUGGGGCCAUUCUGACGCUGAGGCGCGAAAGCGUGGGGAGCAAACAGGAUUAGAUA